GAUGAACGCUGGCGGCGUGCCUAAUACAUGCAAGUCGAGCGAAUGGAUUAAGAGCUUGCUCUUAUGAAGUUAGCGGCGGACGGGUGAGUAACACGUGGGUAACCUGCCCAUAAGACUGGGAUAACUCCGGGAAACCGGGGCUAAUACCGGAUAAUAUUUUGAACCGCAUGGUUCGAAAUUGAAAGGCGGCUUCGGCUGUCACUUAUGGAUGGACCCGGGUCGCAUUAGCUAGUUGGUGCGGUAACGGCUCACCAAGGCAACGAUGCGUAGCCGACCUGAGAGGGUGAUCGGCCACACUGGGACUGAGACACGGCCCAGACUCCUACGGGAGGCAGCAGUAGGGAAUCUUCCGCAAUGGACGAAAGUCUGACGGAGCAACGCCGCGUGAGUGAUGAAGGCUUUCGGGUCGUAAAACUCUGUUGUUAGGGAAGAACAAGUGCUAGUUGAAUAAGCUGGCACCUUGACGGUACCUAACCAGAAAGCCACGGCUAACUACGUGCCAGCAGCCGCCGUAA
rnacentral:rRNA from 1 species